AUCUAGCUGACGAGUCCAAAAUAGGACGAAAAGCACGUCAUGCGU
rfam:Schistosoma rodhaini strain Burundi genome assembly, scaffold: SROB_scaffold0002848